AGUUUACAAGAACAGUUGUUGCCUCAGGAAGACUACACCCUGGAACAUCCUCACUCAGAAAACAAUCACAGGAUGUAGAAGCCACCAGAAGGCAGGGAAGCUCUUACAAUAUGUUGAGGAGAAGGUUGUUCUUCAAGCAAGUGUGUCCCAAGGACCUUCUCAGCAACACUAGGAGAUAAUAAAACAUUCAGGUAAAACUACCAGUGCUGCCAAGAUGAGCUCUAUAACCAAGGGGACUUCCAAGUGCCUCAGGAAUCCUCAGUACCCAAUGGCAUUAAGUGUCCUGCCUGCUACAACGUGUAUGAUGUUUCCUGCGACCCAGUUCUUCUUGCCUGCACUGGUACAGAGACAAAGCGUGUGGAAGUUAUUGGCAUAGAUCAACUCUGAUACAACAUGGGAGAAGAGUAUACAAGGACAUGAAUACUAAGAGAUCGCAGGCCAUCCUAGAGACUAACUACUAUGUACAGCAAAGGCUGAUACAGGGCCAAGUCCUAGUUCACUCUCCAAAGUUUGGAGGGAGCCAUCUGUCAGAAGAGAGAAGGGGGAGAGGAGAGGACGAGGAGAGGAGAGGGAAGAUGAAGAGAACACAACUGCUUUCCACAGGAAAGUCUGACACUUGGGAACAUGUCAUAUCAUGAUCUCCUCGAAUGGGAACUUGGGUCAUUGGCCAUCACCCUCUUCAACAAAGAGGGUGAUACCUCAGUUCUGGUUUUUUUCAUCACUACCAUUAUUGCUAUUACCCAAUCCCCAUGAAUAAGCAUGAUAUGAUUCUGAAAUCUGCAGAAGGACUUGCCAUUUUCCUGAGGAGGAAAAAAGUAUGGACUUGUAAUAAGAUGCACAGAUGCCAUUCAGAUAGAAAACAACAGGUACCAAGGGGCUGUUUAGGUGAAUACAUGAGUUCUGACCUCAGGCUUUUUCCUCUCUUCCAACUAUCUCUUGCCUCGUCAGAAGGUACAGACUCCAAUCUCAGCUAUGCAUCUGACACAGCAGGGGCCCUUUGGGAUUCAUCCUAAACUGAGAUGUCGGGCCCAAAGGGAACUAAGGCUUGGUCCCUGGACAGAGAUGGAGCUGUGGUUCUUGCUUCUUUCACAGAAGGCAGAGGGGAAUUCUGGGGCAUUCUGUGUACCCUUUUCUUCCCCAAGGGAGGCAGAUAGGAUAGGACAUGGGU